rnacentral:rRNA from 1 species
AGUGAACGCUGACGGUAGGCCUAACACAUGCAAGUCGAACGGCAGCACAGGAGAGCUUGCUCUCUGGGUGGCGAGUGGCGGACGGGUGAGGAAUACAUCGGAAUCUACUUUUUCGUGGGGGAUAACGUAGGGAAACUUACGCUAAUACCGCAUACGACCUACGGGUGAAAGCAGGGGAUCUUCGGAACUUGCGCGAUUGAAUGAGCCGAUGUCGGAUUAGCUAGUUGGCGGGGUAAAGGCCCACCAAGGCGACGAUCCGUAGCUGGUCUGAGAGGAUGAUCAGCCACACUGGAACUGAGACACGGUCCAGACUCCUACGGGAGGCAGCAGUGGGGAAUAUUGGACAAUGGGCGCAAGCCUGAUCCAGCCAUACCGCGUGGGUGAAGAAGGCCUUCGGGUUGUAAAGCCCUUUUGUUGGGAAAGAAAUCCAGCUGGUUAAUACCCGGUUGGGAUGACGGUACCCAAAGAAUAAGCACCGGCUAACUUCGUGCCAGCCGCCGCGGUAA